rnacentral:rRNA from 1 species
AGUGAACGCUGGCGGUAGGCCUAACACAUGCAAGUCGAACGGCAGCACAGUAAGAGCUUGCUCUUACGGGUGGCGAGUGGCGGACGGGUGAGGAAUACAUCGGAAUCUACUUUUUCGUGGGGGAUAACGUAGGGAAACUUACGCUAAUACCGCAUACGACCUACGGGUGAGUGCAGGGGAUCUUCGGACCUUGCGCGAUUGUAUGAGCCGAUGUCGGAUUAGCUAGUUGGCGGGGUAAAGGCCCACCAAGGCGACGAUCCGUAGCUGGUCUGAGAGGAUGAUCAGCCACACUGGAACUGAGACACGGUCCAGACUCCUACGGGAGGCAGCAGUAGGGAAUAUUGGACAAAGGGCGCAAGCCUGAUCCAGCCAUACCGCGUGAGUGAAGAAGGCCUUCGGAUUGUAAAACCCUUUUAUUGGGAAAGAAAAGCAGCAUGUUAAUCCCCCGCUGUUCUGACGGUACCCAAAGAGUAAGCACCAGCUAACUUCGUG